ACUCCUACGGGAGGCAGCAGUGGGGAAUAUUGCACAAUGGGGAAACCCUGAUGCAGCCAUGCCGCGUGUGUGAAGAAGGCCUUCGGUUGUAAAGCACUUUCAGUAGGGAGGAAGGUAGUGUAGUUAAUACCUGCAUUAUUUGACGUUACCUACAGAAGAAGCACCGGCUAACUCCGUGCCAGCAGCCGCGGUAAUACGGAGGGGUGCGAGCGUUAAUCGGAAUUACUGGGCGUAAAGCGCAUGCAGGCGGCCUGUUAAGUCAGAUGUGAAAGCCCGGGGGCUUAACCUCGGAAUUGCAUUUGAAACUGGCAGGCUAAAGUCUUGUAGAGGGGGUAGAAUUUCAGGUGUAGCGGUGAAAUGCGUAGAGAUCUGAAGGAAUACCAGUGGCGAAGGCGGCCCCCUGGACAAAGACUGACGCUCAGAUGCGAAAGCGUGGGGAGCAAACAGGAUUAGAUACCCUGGUAGCACAGAG
rnacentral:rRNA from 1 species